UACGGAGGGUGCGAGCGUUGUCCGGAAUCAUUGGGCGUAAAGGGCGCGUAGGUGGCCCGGUCAGUUCGUGGUGAAAGCGCGGGGCUCAACCCUGCGUCGGCCAUGAAUACUGCCGCGGCUGGAGCACUGUAGAGGCAGGCGGAAUUCCGGGUGUAGCGGUGGAAUGCGUAGAGAUCCGGAAGAACACCGGUGGCGAAGGCAGCUCGCUGGGACGGUAUUGACGCUAAGGCGCGAAAGCGUGGGGAGCAAACAGG
rnacentral:rRNA from 1 species